CCCUUAGAUGUCCUGGGCCGCACGCGUGCUACACUGACGCAUACAACGAGUAUUUCCUGCUCCGCGAGGUAGCAGGUAAUCUAUAAUAUGCGUCGUGAUGGGGAUAGAUCUUUGGAAUUGUAGAUCUUGAACGAGGAAUUCCUAGUAAGCGUAAGUCAUCAUCUUACGCUGACUAAGUCCCUGCCCUUUGUACACACCGCCCGUCGCUCCUACCGAUUUCGAGUGGUCCGGUGAACUCCUUGGACUGCGAAGGCAACUUCGCGGGAAGCUGAGUAAACCUUAUCACUUAGAGGAAGGAGAANUCGUANCA
rnacentral:rRNA from 1 species